GACAGAGGUGCCAAGCGUUAGGCGGAAUCACUGGGCUUAAAGCGUGUGUAGGCGGAAUUGUAAGUACCUUGUGAAAUCCCACGGCUCAACCGUGGAACUGCUUGGUAUACUGCUUUUCUUGAGCCACUUAGGGGCUGUCGGAACAAACGGUGGAGCGGUGAAAUGCGUAGAUAUCAGGAGGAAUACCGAUGGCGAAGGCAGGUCUCUGGGCUGACACUGACGCUCAUGCACGAAAGCGUGGGGAGCAAACAGG
rnacentral:rRNA from 1 species